AGGGAGGCAACACUACAACAUGUUGAGCCAACUCCGGAACCAGCAGUCACAACUCCACGUUGAGUGCAAGAGUGGGUGUGCAGCGGACAAGUAGGAUGCCACAGGUACAUUACGGUAUGGUACGGCAGCUGCACUGCAGCAGACAGGGAGAGGCUGCAAAGAGUGGUCAAGACGGCUCAGAAGAUCAUCAGCCGCCCUCUCCCCUCUCUGACGGACAUCUACACCUCCCGCUGCCUCAACAGAGCCAGUGCCAUCAUCAAAGACAGCACCCACCCUGGCUCUGACCUGUUCCACCUGCUGCCCUCUGGGAAGCGCUACAGGUGCAUUAAAACCAAAACAAACAGGCUAAAGAACAGCUUCUUCCCCAGGGCCAUAACCAUCCUGAACGGACUGCCCCAUUGUCCCUCAUAACUGCCUUCUCUUCGGUGCAAUAACCCAUUCCACCAACCACCCUGUUUUUGUUUUGUUUUUUCAUGUAUAUAUUCAUUUCACACCAUAUUCAUUGCACUUCUACAUUUUUUAAAUUUUUAUAUAUUUGC